rfam:Blastomyces gilchristii SLH14081 genomic scaffold supercont1.21, whole genome shotgun sequence.
GGGCAAUUGGUUUAGUGGUAUAAUACCCCCUUAGCACCGGAGAUCAGCUGACCCGACGACGUGGGGGUGGUCCAGGGUUCGAUUCCCUGAUUGUCCA